rnacentral:rRNA from 1 species
CCUACGGGAGGCAGCAGGGAGGAAUAUUGGUCAAUGGGCGCGAGCCUGAACCAGCCAAGUAGCGUGAAGGAUGACAGCCCGAGGGGUUGUAAACUUCUGUUAGAGGGGAAUAAAGUGCAGUAGGUAGACUGCUGUGCAUGUACCUUAUGAAUAAGGAUCGGCUAACUCCGUGCCAGCAGCCGCGGUAAUACGGAGGAUCCGAGCGUUAUCCGGAUUUAUUGGGUUUAAAGGGAGCGUAGGCGGGUUGUUAAGUCAGUUGUGAAAGUUUGCGGCUAAACCGUAAAAGUGCAGUUGAUACUGGCAUCCUUGCGUACAGUAGAGGUAGGCGGCAUUCGUUGUGUAGCGGU